UACGGAGGGUGCAAGCGUUGUCCGGAAUCACUGGGCGUAAAGGGCGCGUAGGCGGCUCAUGAAGGCUGUGGUGAAAGUCCGGGGCUCAACCUCGGAUCGGCCGUGGCGACUCGUGGGCUGGAGCACUGUAGAGGCGGGUGGAAUUCCGGGUGUAGCGGUGGAAUGCGUAGAGAUCCGGAAGAACACCUGUGGCGAAGGCGGCCCGCUGGGCAGUGGCUGACGCUGAGGCGCGACAGCGUGGGGAGCAAACAGG
rnacentral:rRNA from 1 species